rnacentral:lncRNA from 1 species
GGGCUAUGGAGUGAGUUCCAGGUCAGUUUGGGCUAAGAAUCUGCCUAAACAACAAACAAACAAACAAACAAAACAACAAUCCCAGAAGAGGCUAAACAGAUCAGAGCCUGGCUCCUUCAUUUUAUGCACCCUCAUUACACCGUUACAACAAAUCUGAGGUGAACCUUAGUACCGUUCCCACCGUUAGAGGUGAAGAAAGCCAUUUGGCAAAUCACCACCCCACAGCUAGGGACUUGCAGCUGGAUUUUAGCCUCCCUUUGUCUCCUAAAUCCAUGCAGCUACAACCGUCAAGCUGCUCUGUGAGCAAAUACUGGCCCCAGGUCUUCAGAAUUAUCAUCCAAGACAAACGGUAUCAAAGGCAGGAAAAUCAAGCUACAGUGUCCCCGACACCAGGAGCCCAGGCCUGGGAGAUACUUGCUGAGCUUGAGCGAGCUGGGUUCGCAGGCAACUUCCGUUUAUCUCGGAGGUUCCUCUGUUGUUUUCCUGGCUUCUCAGAGGUCUGUUUUGGAAGCGGCUUCUGCUGUCCCGCUACUGGGCUCCUGGGCAGGAAGGACUAAACCCAGACUGGGACUCCUGGAGGUUUGCUGGCUGGGAGAAGGGUCUCACACUAUAUCCCAGGCUGACCUGGAACUCCUGGAAAUCCUCCUGUCUCAGCCUCUGAAGGUCUGGGAUUACAGGAAUGAGCAACCAAGGCUAGCGUCAACCACUCCUUCACAGCUGUUACUUACGUAUAAAGCUUGAGAGAUGAGGCCAGGAGUCAGCUCAGCUGGGCCCUGGAUGGUUAAGACAGCAUCACAUGAGGGUGCGCCUUCUGCAUGUACUUCAGAAUCCCACACUAAUGUCUACACCAGACCCCAUCCUGCAUCUAACCCAAAAUGCAUCCAGCCCCACCGCAGAGCUUGGCUUUCUGCCCCUCCUUUACGUUUGGGCAUGUCUGGCUUUCAGGAUUUUAAUCUUUCAGGAUUGUGAUUAUUUAUGACAUAGCCCCAUUUGGUAGCCCGCACUGGCCUUGGAUUCCUGGUCCUGUCUCAGCUUGAGUGCUAGGAUUACAGGUACACUCCACCACGGCCAGGACUUGAAUCUUUAGGGACUUCAGCAUUUGACAUUAAUGAAGUUGGGAUCCUGUCUCUUCAGAUCAGCACUUCUUGGAAAGCUUGAGGCCUUCCCCAACUGGCAAAAAUGAAGAAACAGAUGCAGCCGUUCCUCCUCAGCGUUGGAGACUUUUAUCUUUAACACCAUUUCGCACAAUGCCAAGCCACACGGACCCUUGCCAUAAUCCCACCUUAUGAAUCUUUAUCCUUGUCUUGGGAACACAGCCUCCCUCUCAGCCUCCCCCAAAGUCCCUCUCUGGAGCCAAGGUUUAGGUUGCUAUGGUUCUAGAUGUCUCUCCCAGGCUCAUCACUCUCAUGGAACUCAGGACACUGAUUGAGUCUUAGAAAACAGAACUUCCCCUCUGCAGUCUGAAGGGGAAAGAACACUGUGACUGACGGCACUCAGAACUGGCCAAGCCCUGGUCACCAUUGGCGUGAGACUCACAACACCAAGCUUCCCCUGUCUACGUUGGAUAGAAAUGACUGUUCCAGGGCUGUCAGGAUGGCUCUGUGAGCAGAGGCUUGCCGCCAAGACGGCCUGAUGACUUGACUUUAAGCCCCAGGCGCCACAAGGUGGAAGAAGAAAACCAACUCCACAAAGGUUUCCUCUGACCUCUACACAGGUGCUGUGGCAUGUGUGUACCCCUCCAAUCACCAUAAUAAUAAAUGUAAACUGCCAC